UCUCCCGGAGGCGCAUGAUGUCCUCGGCCAGCAGGAUCUUAUUCUGCUGCUCCAGGAAGCGCACCUUGUCGAUGUAGUUGGCGAAGCGGUCAUUCAGCUCCUGCAGCUCCACCUUCUCGUUGGUGCGGGUGGACGUAGUCACGUAGCUCCGGCUGGAGCUCGGCCGGCUCGCGGUGCCCGGGCCGCCGAACAUCCUGCGGUAGGAGGACGAGGACACGGACCUGGUGGACAUGGCUGCGGAGGGUGGCGAUGGCCUGGGCGGCGGCGGUGGCGCGGACUGGCUCCCGGAGAAGAGGCGAACGAGGGCGCGGUGG
rnacentral:lncRNA from 1 species